rnacentral:rRNA from 1 species
UGGCUCAGAUUGACCGCUGGCGGCAGGCCUAACACAUGCCAGUUCGACCGGUAGCACAGAGAGCUUGCUCUCGGGUGACGAGUGGCGGACGGGUGAGUAAUGUCUGGGAAACUGCCCGAUGGAGGGGGAUAACUACUGGAAACGGUAGCUAAUACCGCAUAACGUCUUCGGACCAAAGUGGGGGACCUUCGGGCCUCACACCAUCGGAUGUGCCCAGAUGGGAUUAGCUAGUAGGUGGGGUAAUGGCUCACCUAGGCGACGAUCCCUAGCUGGUCUGAGAGGAUGACCAGCCACACUGGAACUGAGACACGGUCCAGACUCCUACGGGAGGCAGCAGUGGGGAAUAUUGCACAAUGGGCGCAAGCCUGAUGCAGCCAUGCCGCGUGUAUGAAGAAGGCCUUCGGGUUGUAAAGUACUUUCAGCGGGGAGGAAGGCGAUAAGGUUAAUAACCUUGUCGAUUGACGUUACCCGCAGAAGAAGCACCGGCUAACUCCGUGCCAGCAGCCGCGGUAAUACGGAGGGUGCAAGCGUUAAUCGGAAUUACUGGGCGUAAAGCGCACGCAGGCGGUCUGUCAAGUCGGAUGUGAAAUCCCCGGGCUUAACCUGGGAACUGCAUUCGAAACUGGCAGGCUAGAGUCUUGUAGAGGGGGGUAGAAUUCCAGGUGUAGCGGUGAAAUGCGUAGAGAUCUGGAGGAAUACCGGUGGCGAAGGCGGCCCCCUGGACAAAGACUGACGCUCAGGUGCGAAAGCGUGGGGAGCAAACAGGAUUAGAUACCCUGGUAGUCCACGCCGUAAACGAUGUCGACUUGGAGGUUGUGCCCUUGAGGCGUGGCUUCCGGAGCUAACGCGUUAAGUCGACCGCCUGGGGAGUACGGCCGCAAGGUUAAAACUCAAAUGAAUUGACGGGGGCCCGCACAAGCGGUGGAGCAUGUGGUUUAAUUCGAUGCAACGCGAAGAACCUUACCUACUCUUGACAUCCAGAGAACUUAGCAGAGAUGCUUUGGUGCCUUCGGGAACUCUGAGACAGGUGCUGCAUGGCUGUCGUCAGCUCGUGUUGUGAAAUGUUGGGUUAAGUCCCGCAACGAGCGCAACCCUUAUCCUUUGUUGCCAGCGGUCCGGCCGGGAACUCAAAGGAGACUGCCAGUGAUAAACUGGAGGAAGGUGGGGAUGACGUCAAGUCAUCAUGGCCCUUACGAGUAGGGCUACACACGUGCUACAAUGGCGCAUACAAAGAGAAGCGACCUCGCGAGAGCAAGCGGACCUCAUAAAGUGCGUCGUAGUCCGGAUUGGAGUCUGCAACUCGACUCCAUGAAGUCGGAAUCGCUAGUAAUCGUAGAUCAGAAUGCUACGGUGAAUACGUUCCCGGGCCUUGUACACACCGCCCGUCACACCAUGGGAGUGGGUUGCAAAAGAAGUAGGUAGCUUAACCUUCGGGAGGGCGCUUACCACUUUGUGAUUCAUGACUGGGGUGAAG